rnacentral:ribozyme from 1 species
UUUUUUUUUUUUUUGUUGUUUUUUUUUUUUUUUUUC